rnacentral:lncRNA from 1 species
UCUGGGUGUCAGUGAUCAAACCCCUCUGACCCAGGGCCCCCAUUCCCUGCGCUCCUGCCCUGGGCUGCGGCAGCUGCACCUUGGGCAGGUACCCUGGGGACAGGGGAGGGUGGGGGACUUCUGCCUCCAGAUUAGCUUGUGUUGAGUUAGCAAGUGAGCAGGAAAUAUUUCUUCUCCUUUUCUGCAAAGCAGGAAGUGCCUUAGGCUCUGGAGAGCACCUUCGUGCUCAGUGUGACUGUGCUGAGCAGAGGAGGGGCGCUGGGACAUUGCUCCAGCUCUGCUCCUGUGCUUUUACACCUUUUCCCUUUCUCCUCUGCUCUCAGCAGCUCCAGGUUAUGUCUGGAAUAUAGAGCAGGCCAGAUGUGAUUUCCUUGUUCUCUUUGUUACCCUGCAGCCGGCAGGGAGUGGGAGACCUUGUCCCCUGAAGUGAUGGACAAAACCAGCACUGUGUCCUCUUGGUGUGGAGAGCAGAGCCCUACAAGGCCCAUUUCCUGCAGCACUUGUCUCCUCUUUGGGUGAUCUUCUGAGUCUUUAUUAAACUCUGACUAUCAAAGAGAAGAAUCCAUGGAUGCAGAACAACCCAUCAUUUACAUAUUAUGCUUUCCAUCUUCCAUUAAUACAUGUCUGCAAAGGGAAAGUAUGAUGAGAGAAACAGAGCAACCUGUGAAAGCUUCAACAUCUGCCCCAGCAAAGUUCCCAUCACAGCCAGCAUCUGUUUCGCCAGUGUAAGGACACAAUGAAAUCUGCAGGGUAUUGUCCUAUUUGAAUUUUAAUAUCUUUUCAUUUCUUGUUUCUCCCUUGUAUGCUUGUUUUUGAAAGAGUUGGCAGCACACAAACAUGGGGUUGUAAAUGAGAAAGUGAAAGAUUUGUCAAUACUUGCACUCUCAGGGGACUGAGGUUCUUUAAUUUUAAUUACACUUAAGUCAGGCUCCCCACACACCCGGUGCUGGAUGUUUUUCUCUUCCUAAUAUUAUAUAGGGAAAAAUGCAGCAGCAUCUGGUGCCUUCCUGACAGGUUCAAUAGAUUGUAGUGAGAAUGAGAAGCAGGGCUGGUCUGGAACAAGCUUUCAUUGAU